UGGGGAAUAUUGGACAAUGGGCGCAAGCCUGAUCCAGCCAUGCCGCGUGAGUGACGAAGGCCUUAGGGUUGUAAAGCUCUUUUGGCGGGGAAGAUAAUGACGGUACCCGGAGAAGAAGCUCCGGCUAACUUCGUGCCAGCAGCCGCGGUAAUACGAAGGGAGCUAGCGUUGUUCGGAAUUACUGGGCGUAAAGCGCACGUAGGCGGGCUAUUAAGUCAGGGGUGAAAUCCCGAGGCUCAACCCCGGAACUGCCUUUGAUACUGAUAGUCUUGAGAUCGGGAGAGGUGAGUGGAAUUCCUAGUGUAGAGGUGAAAUUCGUAGAUAUUAGGAAGAACACCAGUGGCGAAGGCGGCUCACUGGCCCGAUACUGACGCUGAGGUGCGAAAGCGUGGGGAGCAAACAGGAUUAGAUACCCCCGUAGUCCCUGAGCGGGCUGGCAAGGCGCAU
rnacentral:rRNA from 1 species